AUUGAACGCUGGCGGCAUGCCUUACACAUGCAAGUCGAACGGCAGCACGGGAGCUUGCUCCUGGUGGCGAGCGGCGAACGGGUGAGUAAUACAUCGGAACGUACCCAGUAGUGGGGGAUAACGCACCGAAAGGUGCGCUAAUACCGCAUACGACCUACGGGUGAAAGCGGGGGACCGUAAGGCCUCGCGCUAUUGGAGCGGCCGAUGUCUGAUUAGCUAGUUGGCGGGGUAAAAGCCCACCAAGGCGACGAUCAGUAGCUGGUCUGAGAGGACGAUCAGCCACACUGGGACUGAGACACGGCCCAGACUCCUACGGGAGGCAGCAGUGGGGAAUUUUGGACAAUGGGGGCAACCCUGAUCCAGCAAUGCCGCGUGUGCGAAGAAGGCCUUCGGGUUGUAAAGCACUUUUGUCAGGGAAGAAAUCUUUCAGGCUAAUGCCCUUGGAAGGAUGACGGUACCUGAAGAAUAAGCACCGGCUAACUACGUGCCAGCCGCCGCGGUAA
rnacentral:rRNA from 1 species